rnacentral:rRNA from 1 species
GACGGAAGGUGCAAGCGUUGCUCGGAAUCACUGGGCGUAAAGGGUGCGUAGGCGGCCGUGCAAGUCUGGCGUGAAAGCCCCGGGCUCAGCCCGGGAAGUGCGCUCGAAACUGCGCGGCUCGAGUGCCGGAGGGGAGAGUGGAAUUCCUGGUGUAGCGGUGAAAUGCGUAGAUAUCAGGAGGAACACCGAUGGCGAAGGCAGGUCUCUGGGCCGAUACUGACGCUGAGGAGCGAAAGCGUGGGGAGCGAACAGG